rnacentral:ncRNA from 1 species
GAAAUAACUGUGAAGGGAAGAGUAGGUGUUUGGAGUCUCGCAGCGAGUCAGGGUUGGUGGAAGCCUGAUGAGAUGAAUUAUACUGAAGGACCUCCUGGAGUUGGUUAUCUGAAAACCGUACUUGGUGAAUAGGAAAACCCGGAUUUCCCCGUUAUAGGAAGCAAAGUGAACUAUUUGUUUUGAAAUAGUUAAAAAGAAUGGUACCGUGGGCAGAAACUCACUUCUUGU